rnacentral:rRNA from 1 species
GAUGAACGCUGGCGGCGUGCCUAACACAUGCAAGUCGAACGGAGAUUCCGGACGGAAGUUUUCGGAUGGAAGCCUGUAAUUCUUAGUGGCGGACGGGUGAGUAACGCGUGGGCAACCUGCCCUAUACAGGGGGAUAGCAGCUGGAAACGGCUGGUAAGACCGCAUAAGUCGGUUAAAUCGCAUGAUUUGAUCGGGAAAUGAGCAAUCAGGUAUAGGAUGGGCCCGCGUCCGAUUAGCCAGUUGGCAGGGUAAAAGCCUACCAAAGCGACGAUCGGUAGCCGGACGGGGAGGUCGGACGGCCACAUUGGGACUGAGACACGGCCCAAACUCCUACGGGAAGCAGCAGUGGGGGAUAUUGCACAAUGGAGGAAACUCUGAUGCAGCGACGCCGCGUGAGUGAAGAAGUAUUUCGGUAUGUAUAGCUCUAUCAGCAGGGAAGAUGGUGACGGUACCUGACUAAGAAGCCCCGGCUAACUACGUG